GGCUCCAUAGUGUAGUGGUUAGCACAUCUGCUUUACAUGCAGAAGGUCCUAGGUUCGCACCCCUGGUGGAGCCA
rfam:Pteropus alecto contig89535, whole genome shotgun sequence.